CCUAUUGACUUUUGCUGAAAGGAGGUCUUUUAAUUUAAGUUUUGUAUCACUGGUUUUUGCAGGAUAUCCUUUGUCAAGUGUGAAGAUUUUUGAGGUUUAGUUCUAUAAAUAGAGAAACCUGGACAUGGCGUUCAAAGAAAUAGUGCUGACGUGCUUUUACAUAAGACAUCUGCCUCCGCGGGAAGCAACAAAAUGAAGGGGAAGCCAAAUGGUAGAAGAUGCAGUUCUAUUCAUCUUGAC
rnacentral:lncRNA from 1 species